AUUGAACGCUGGCGGCAUGCCUUACACAUGCAAGUCGAACGGCAGCACGGACUUCGGUCUGGUGGCGAGUGGCGAACGGGUGAGUAAUGUAUCGGAACGUACCUUUCAGUGGGGGAUAACGUAGCGAAAGUUACGCUAAUACCGCAUAUUCUGUGAGCAGGAAAGCAGGGGAUCGCAAGACCUUGCGCUGAUUGAGCGGCCGAUAUCAGAUUAGCUAGUUGGUGGGGUAAAGGCCUACCAAGGCUACGAUCUGUAGCGGGUCUGAGAGGAUGAUCCGCCACACUGGAACUGAGACACGGUCCAGACUCCUACGGGAGGCAGCAGUGGGGAAUUUUGGACAAUGGGGGCAACCCUGAUCCAGCCAUGCCGCGUGAGUGAAGAGGGCCU
rnacentral:rRNA from 1 species